UGGUGGAGUGAUUUGUCUGGUUAAUUCCGAUAACGAACGAGAUCUCAACCUAUUAACUAGCGUUUCUCAUUGCCUACUCGGGUGAAGCCUCUCAACGUUGAGGUGGCCGCAAGGUCGCUGAGGCUUGGGGGUGGAUCCUUGGUUUAUGGGGUGCGCUUCUUAGAGGGACUAUUGGGGAACACCCAAUGGAAGUGAGCCAAUAACA
rnacentral:rRNA from 1 species